AAGAAUUUCAAUACAGUGACCACAGAGCAUUAGCACCCAAGCAGGACCUGCUGAACCUGGGGCCCUAUAGGAGAGCACUGAUGGCCCACCCCUGAUUGUGGCCCUGGUCUUCAUGUCUGCAUCAGCCUCAGCCAUCUCAAGACCACAACAGGAACAUAGCCAAGUCAGAGAAGGAAGACCAAAAGCACCAGGGCCCUUCAUAUUAUUAAGCUGCUAAAUUAACUAAUCUUGGAAACUUCUAGACUCUACAAUUCUUGUUGUAUGAGAGUGGAUUGACAAUUAUUCUCUGGACUUUUUGGUAACCAAGAACUUCUAGCAACUAACCCUGGCAUGACCACCAGAAUCUGCAGGGCUGAGAGAAGAAAGAAAGGCAAAAGUGGAUGAAUGCAGCUGAAGAUGCUGUGGAACUCCUAUCACAUUCCAAGUGCUGUGUUGAUAUCUGGAGAUAUAGACAAGAUCGAAGCAGAUGCAGUCUUUCACAUGAAUAUUUGAAUCAGGCAGUAUGUUCCCCAAAUUAGCAAAGUAUCUCCCAGAUUUUUUCUUUGAUGAUAUAUUUGAAAUCCUAAUGCUGAAAGUUAAAUUAUCAGGGUUUUAAAACUAGAAGCAGUCAUUAUCAGAAUUUUAUAUACUAUUUAUUUUUAAGAACGUAAUUUGACUGUUUAAGUCUUAUUAUAAUUUUAAGUGAAGUACUUUGGGCAGUCAUAAAUAAAGUAAUGGGCAGGUAUUUAGUAUUCAUAUUGUGUGGAUUCAUAUCCAUACUCUGCCACUCAGUAUCUCUGGGAUUUUGAUGAAUGAUCAAACUCUCUGAGCCUCAGUUUUCUAAUCUGUAAAGCAGAAAUGAUAAUGGUAUGUAGUGAUAAUUAAACAAUUUACUAGUUGUAAGUGCUUAGAACAGUUCCUGGAAUAGAGAAAAUUUGCAGAGAGAUUUUUAUUGUUUACAAUUUAGUUAAUGGAAUGGCUUCAAUAAUACAGUAAAAUUAAGAUAUUCAAACAAGCAGGAUGCAGGUGAUGGGUAUUGGCCUCAGCUUUAGAGACCAGAGGUUAAAUCUCAGUGCUGCCUGCCACAAAACGAUCCAUGUAAGUCAAUAAACAAUGCUUUUUAAAAUAUUAUUAUAAAGAUAUAGUGUGUGGAUCCCUCUCAAUUGUCCAUUCUUCCCUGUCACAAAAAUUUGCCUGCUUUUCGUUACCAUGUGAGAGGCAAAUGAAUUGAACUAAAUGGUUUCUAAUGCCCUGUCCACCUCUAAAAUUCUAUAGAACUGUGAUUUGAUUCCAAUGGGCCAUAUCAGGACUCGGCAUUAUUUUCAUCAGUGAACCAUUUCAUUAGAAAUUUAUUUUUCCAAAUGAUAUUAGUAAAUAUUGAAGGAGGCUUCUCCCACAGAGCUUCUUGUACAAAUUAAAACAGGGCAGUAGAAGGUUUUCAGGUUGGUGAAGUCAACUCUGGCUUUUAGUCAACCAUUCCAAAAAAACAUUUUCUUUAGAAUCCAAGGGCUUGCAAUUGUUCUGAAUAAAGCAUAAAGAAGCUGUUCUGAUUUAUUAAAUAAAAAGAGUACCAAAUAUAUGAUUUUUAAAAUGUUUCAAA
rnacentral:lncRNA from 1 species